rnacentral:lncRNA from 1 species
GAAUUGUUGUACUCAUCAGAGCACAGAGGCUUUCAUGCUCCUCGGUCAUUUUCGAUGAUGGAAUUUCUAAAUCGAGGAUCUGCUCUGUUAGACUUGAUCUAGCGUAUUUGAAGUUUUUAAAAAUUAAUUUUUGUAAUUUUUUGAUAUCAUUUACCUAGUGAUCAAAAGGGUUCAAAAUCAAUAAAUUUUAAUGGUUGAUGUCUGCCGUUUUCAAGUUUAACGGUAUAGAAGUAUUCAAAUCAGAUGAAAUUUUGAUACAAAAUUUUUUAUACUAUCUACAAUAGGAUCAAUAUCUCUGAUCGAAAAUUUUAGUGCUAUAUCACCACUUUUUUAUAGAAUUUUUAUUUUUCAUCCAUUGAUGUUAAAUUUUUUUUAUUGCUAGGUAAAUGAUAUCGAAAAACAGUAAAAAUUAUUUUCUAGAAACUUCAAGUAUGCUAGAUCAAGUCUGACGAAGCCGAUCGUCGAUUCGAAAAUUCCACCAUAAAAAACGGCUCAGAAGCACGGAGGCUUCUAAGCUCCUAAGAGCACUUAGCAGUCCUGCUGAGUCCGGCUACUAUACUAUCGAUAGUACCAAGCCUUUGGUACUAUUGAGUUUUCUACCGUUAGAUCUACCCUUUGAUUAUUUCCACCCGUUAGAUUAUACUAUUAAACCAACCAACCACUCAACCCUAAGGGACCAUUAUCAAUUUAACCGGAGACCAAUAUCAUCCUAACCGCACAUCCUUUCAUCCAACGGCGGAAAACUCAAUAGUACCAAAGACUUGGUACUAUUGAUAGUAUAGUAGCAUAUAUAUAUAUAUAUAUAUAUAUAUAUAUAUAUAUAGUCCAGCUAUGGUGCUUGUAAAAGCACCAAGCACUUGGUGCUUAUAAGAUUUUUACCGUUAGAUCUACUCCUCGGAUCAUUUUCAAUCAUUAGAUUAUACUAUUCAACCAACCACCCACUCAACCCUAGGGAGCCCACAUCAUCCUAACCGCAUAUUUCUUAAUCUAAUGGCUAAAAAUCUACAAGCACCGAUAACUAGGUACUUUUAAUAUAUAUAUAUAUAUGAGUAGGGCUAGAAUACUUUUACAAGUAUCACCCAAGUGAUACUUGUGUGUUUUUAGCCCUUAGAUGGAGAGAUAUGAGGUUGAGAUGAUAGGGGUAGGUGGUGGUAGGUGGUGGUAGGUGGAAUAGUGUUUGAUCCAAGGGCUAUUUGUAAUAAAAAAGUAGAUCCAAUGGCUAAAAACGUGAUAGCAACAUAGGGAUGAUACUUGUAAAAGUAUCCUAGAUCAACUC